UUAUGUUCCUUGAAGAUCAUGGAUUAUGUGUUAAUGAUUGCAACACAUCAGCAUGUGUGAGACACGGACCAGCCGUCCAAUUUCCCUUCUGAAUCAAAGGCAGGCAAUCACUCCAAGUUAUUUAUACUAAUGAUCCAGAAGGUUGCCUUCGGAGAAGUCUUUUGAGCUUCGAUCUAUCUGUUUCUCCCUUCCAUCUUAAGGGGCAUUAUGCCUACGAAAACACAUUAUUCAAUUGCUCUUCAACGGGAGGCUAUAAGCCAAUCCACUGCUUUAGUAGUCCACAAUAUCAGGUCUAUGCCGUUUAUUCAGAGAGUUCUAUUGGUGACUUGGACCUGAACGUUGUCUUGCAAUAAGAUACAUGAUAUUUCUCCAGUUCCAUAUCAUUCUCUCUAUUCCCUGGGAACAUCGUUUGAGUUGGGACAAUCCCAAGUGUAAGAGUUGUGAAGUAAAAGGCAAGUGCUGCAGAUUGGAGAGCAACAACACUAGAUCUGAAACUCAAUGCUACGGCAUGCUCAAGCCACAACAAGGUGUAAUCCUGGGUUCAAUCCUUCUUGUACACUACCGCAGAUAUAUGUUCAACAAAAUAGAAAGACAAUAUUAGUCCAAGAUUGAAAAAUUUUUGGAUGACUACAAAUCUUUCAAGCCUACUAGAUAUUCUUAUGAUGAUAUUAAGAGGAAGACUAACCAAUUCAAAGACGAAUUGGGCUAAGGAGCUUAUGGAACUGUGUUCAGAGGAAAGCUAUCUGAUGAAAUUAUGGUAGCUGCUAAAGUCCUCAACAACUCCAAAGGAAAUGGAGAGGACUUAAACCGCAUAAACCGCAUGACAUCUUGUUUGAUUACGACUUCAAUCCCAAAAUCUCAUAUUUUGGAUUGGCUAAGGUUGGUGCUAAGGAUCAGAGUGUGGAGCCCAUGACAACGGCGAGAGGGACCUCUAUUAUGUGAAUUUAAACCAUGCAAUGUAGAGAUUGGAGGAAUUGAGAAAACAUUAAUCAGAUUGUGUUUUUGCUUUAAAUUACUUUA